UUCUCAAACACUAGCACAUAUUUCAAUCUAACACGGAUCUUUAUUUUUUGUAGAAUAUCCUGUAUGAAAGUCCAACAGAUAAUACUACAGAACAAGAGUCACAUGAAGACACUUUUGUAGUUGCUAAUGUUAAUAAAGAUUAUGAACAGAAACAGUAUGCAAGAAAAGUAUAUAAGAGGAAACAUGCUGCUCUUCUGAGUGACAAGGAAUCAGCUACCUUCAUUCAAAAAAAUAUCAAGACUACAUUGAGAGAAGAUCCAAAAGAUGAUCUCAUAAAACAAGAGCCUGAAGAUACAAAAAUCAUAUAUGUAUCAGAUGAUGCUGACAAUGAAAAAUACAAAGAAUCAGACGGCAGUAAAAGAAUAGGAAGAAUGCAGAGACAUGUUAUGAAACUCGAAGACAAUGAAGAUUCUGAAAGUCACUACAAAAAUUCAAAGUUGCAAAGAAAAAUAAAGUGUGCUAAAAGAACAAUUAAAUACGAAAAGAGACACAAAAAGGAAGGUAUUAACAAUAAUUCCCCCAGCAAAAAGGCAUCAAAUUCAGUUGCAUGCGUGAAAGAAGAACCGGAAGAUAGCGAUGUAAGCAGCAUAGAUCAAAGUGGAUGCAAAGAAGAAAAAUCUUCAUCAAGCAAACUGCAGUGUGGCAAUCAAACAAGACGAAGAUACAUGACAAUAGAAGAUGACUCCGAAGAAGACUGCAUAGAAGGAUCUGAAAAAAAAGGCUCAAGCAUUGAUAACAGUCACGCCACACGGAAAUCUAUUGUAAAAAAAGCCAUAAGAACUGGAGAAAGAUUGGCCAAGAAAAUAGAAGAUGACUCCGAAGAAGACUGCAUAAAAGGAUCUGAAAAAAAAGUCUGCAGCAUUGAUAACAGUCACACCAGACGAAAAUCUAUUGUAGAAAAAGCCAUAAGAAUUGGAGAAAAAUUGGCCAAGAAAAUUGAUCGGCUGGAAGAUCAAAUAAAUAAACAAAGACCUAAGAGAGCAAUCAAAGCCAACCCAAAGUAUGCAGAUAUUUCUUAAAUUAUCAGUGUGUGAUACGUACUACAAAUAUGUAACAUUAUCAGUGGACAAUCAAGUCUCUUAAUAGACAUUAGCU